GGCAACCUGCUGGGGUCGUCUUCCAUAGUGUGGCAGCUUUGUUCUUUUGCUCUGUGCUGUAACUCUUGCUACUGCUCACUGUUUGGGUCCACACUGCUUUUAUGAGCUGUAACACUCACCGCAAAGGUCUGCAGCUUCACUCCUGAAGCCAGUGAGACCACGAGCUCACCAGGAGGAACGAACAACUCCAGAUGCGCCACCUUAAGAGCUGUAACGCCUUAAGAGCUGUAACACCGCGAAAGUCUGCAGUUUCACUUCUGAGCCAGCGAGAUGCGAACCCACCAGAAGGAAGAAACUCCAAACACAUCCGAACAUCAGAAGGAACAAACUCCAGAUGCGCCACUGUAAGAGCUGUAACACUCACCGCGAGGGUAUGCGGCUUCAUUCUUGAAGUCAGUGAGACCAAGAACCCACCAAUUCCGGACACAUUACCACUUGUAUAUUUCUGAAUCUACAGUUCUCUUCCAGGUUUUAGACUAAACAUGCUUUUUCUUCUAGUGGUGGGCCUAAAGAAAAAUGGGCGUUUCUCCAGUUAAUUUUCUUAUUCUUGUAGCUAUAUUUUUAAAAAUGUUGAGUUCUGUGUUAAUAAAAAAAAACCUGUAAUCGGUAAGCAUUUAUCUCUCAAGUAGCUGGUAAUAUUUAUAAAAUAAACAGGAAUUUCAGAACAGUUUUAGAUUUACAGAAAAAUCACAAAGAUAGUACAGAGAUCCCAUAUACCACACACAUCUUCCCCUAUAUACCACACACAUCUUCCCCUAUUAUUAGUAUCUUUUUUUUAGUGCACUUGCCACAAUUAAUGAACUAAUAUUAAUGCAUCAUUGACAAAAGUCUAUAAUUUAUUGAGAUUUCCUUAAUGUUGCCUAAUUUCCUUAUCCUGUUCCAGGAUUCCAUCAGUAUGUCAUAUUACAUUUAGUAAUCAUGUCUUCUUAGGAUCCUUUUUGCUGUGACAGUUUCUCAGACUAACUUAGAUUUUAAUGGCUUUGACAAUUUUCAGUAGUACUAGUCAGCUUUUUUGCAGGAUGUUCUUCUGUUGGGAUGUGUCUGAUCAUUUUUUUUUUCUCAUCAUUAUUAGCCUGGAUUUAUGGGUAUUGGAGAGGAAGUCCUCAGAAGUAAAGUGUCAUUUCAUCAUAUCAUGAGCAUAUACUAUCACUGGGAUUGAUAGUUUAUCAGGCUUCUCCACUGCAAAGUUAAUUUUUUCUUCCCUUAGCAUUGUACUCUUUUCACAUUGUAUUGGAAUUGUCUAUACAUAGCCCAUGCUUAAGGAGUGAUGAGUCAUGCUUCACCUCGUUGAUAGCAAAAAGUAUCACAUAAAUUAUUUGUAAUUCUUCUGUAUGGAGUUGUACCUUUUCUCCUCUAUUUAUUCAACCACUUCUUUAUCAAUGUGAACUCAUGGAUUAUUAUUUUAAAACUUGGGUUAUAAACCAAUACUACUGUUUUGUUGUCCAGAUUGUUCCAUCUUUAGACAAUGGAAGGUCUCUCAGUUGACUCCUGUGUUUCUUUGACAUAUCCUCAUCAUCCUAUCAUUUCUUCUGUUUCUUUUUUUUAAAAACAAUCUCUUAUUUUCAGACGCUACAUGAUGCUCCAAACUCAUCUCAUGUAUUUCCUUCCCAAAACUUACAAACAGCCUAUUUUCCAAAGAGCAGAUUUGUUUCUUUUUUUCUGAUCCCCACGUGUGAGAGUACCUGUUGCUCCACAUCCUCACCAGCAAUUUUCAGCGUUUUGAAUUUUAUCAAAAUAUUAUUAUACAACACGGAAGUUUUAAUUAAGAAGGGACUAAUAUCAUUAAGAAUAGCCACUGUCCUAAUAUUUUAUAUUUUUUCUUCUGAGAUUUGUUAAUCCAAGUAAGUUGCCUCAAAGUCAAUUUCAGAACAUUUUAACAUUCAUUACUAUGAUAAACUCAACACAUUAUUAUCACUGUAGUUGAAUGUAAUUUUUACUAUAAAAAGAAGUGAGAACCAAAGUUACAACUAGUAAAGGAAUAUGGGUUAGCAUACAGUAUCUAUAGGUUUUUUAAACAUUUAACACAGAACAUAAUCCACAGUCUGUCACACAAUAAAAUUCAUAUUUGGCUAAACUUUAUAUCUCAGUAGAGAAAUCUAUUGUCCAUUAAAUUUAAUAAUAAUAGUACCAUGUAUUUUACAAUUAUUUAUAAUUUACAGAACAUUUGUAUUCAUUGGUUAAUAUUGACAAUAACUUUGAUUUUAAUAAUUUUUUAAAAUUAUUAAAUAAAUAUUUUUCCUAUGUAUAUUUUUUGAGAUGGAGUUUCAUUCUUGUUUCCCAGGCUGGAGUGGAAUGAUGUGAUCUUGGCUCACGGGAACCUCCAUCUCCUGGGUUCAAACGAUUCUCCUGCCUCAGCCUCCCGGGUAGCUGGGAUUACAGGCAUGUACCACCAAGACUGGCUAAUUACCUACUUAAACAAAUGUUACCUUCUAUUUCUUAGCAUAAGAAUUUUAAAAACAAUUUUAUUUUCUUAUUUUCAUCUGUCAAAAGUGUUUGUCUAUAAAGUAAUGUGGAAUAUUAGAGAAACAGAACUGUUUAUUUCAAUAGGAAAAUAUCUACGCAUUGUGGAUUUCAGGUUAUUCACCUGAAAAAAUGUUUAUGCUGCAGUAUUGCAUCUAUGGGCAUGAAAAUCAUGAUAUGGGUAAUCAGAAGUUUCUGUUAAAUAACUUACAUCAUUUUAUGUACAUUGUGAAAAACCCUCGAGGGGGAGCAGGAUAGUAAAUCCCUUCAUCAUAGGACAAACAGAUUAUUUCUGCUCCACAAAAUUAACUCAGUGAAAGAUAAUGCAUAAAGUUUCCUGGCAUUAAUAAUCCAUAUAUAGAGCCAAAUUAGUAGGUGAUCAAAAAGAGCAUCCUUACAUAAGUAAAAUAAUUUUUUAAAAGUAUCAUGUAUAGAAAAUUAGCCUUGUGUAGCAUUAAGAAAUAUAUAUAUAAAGAGAAAAUCAUUUUGCAAAUUUUUCUUUAUAAAAAUAACACAAAAUGUUUAAUGAAAACACACACACACACACACACACACACACACACACACACACACACACACAGAAAGAGAAAAAGUACAUGGAAACUAAAAAAAGUUACAUGUAAAGACCUCAUUACAAAUUAGUGAAAAUAUACAUACUUCUUGCUCUUCAGGAAAAUACUUUGUUAAACACACUGGUACUGGAUUUAUAACAAUUAGUAUGGUUAAGAAGUAGCAUUAAAAUAAUAGUAAUUCUCAACCAGAGAUUGUAUGUCAACCUAAAAUGUACCUUACUUUAGUUUUUGUUUGUGUCUGAAAUUUGAAGUUCAUACAAACGUUUAAAAGAUAGUUACCCUAUCUGACUUUCAUCCUGAAUUUGUCUAUAGUAUUGCUAUAAAUAUUAAAUAGAAACCUUAAAAAAAUCACACUUUUGUAUAUUCCUAAUUGCCUUAGCUCUAGGUCAUAUUAAUUCACAAUUAUGAAGUAUCAAAAAAGUUAAGACUAACUUAUGAAAAUGCCUGGACAAUUAUGUAGUUUACAAUGAGAAAAAUGUUUCUGUUUUGUGAACUAUGUAUGCUGACAUAUAUUCUACACAAUGAAAGGUUUUCAUAUUUUAUGAGCAAAAUUCACUUAGGCAGCAUAGAUACAUUCAUCUGCAAACCCCAGCUUGAUUAAAUAUAUAACUGAUGGUGCUUCCAACUGUCUUUCAUUUGAGACCCUGUAUCUAAGAAAAAUGUAAUUAUGAAAUGCUGUUUAAACUGUCUACUUUAAAACCACAUUACUGUAGUUUGCUAAUAACCCUUCUAUAUUAUGCUGAUCUGUAACUUUUAAAGCCACAUUUUUAACUCAAGUAGUUGGCAUAACUUCUAUUGCAAUGAAUUUAUUCUGGGAAGUCUGACUGCCAUGAUUAGUGGUUUGACUCCAGUAUUUCCAGCUUACUGCACUAAGUUCCCACUGAUGUACUUGUGGUUUCACAUAUACCAAAGAAUAUUCUAUGAUGAGUGCUGGAUGGAAAAGAUUGUUCAUCUGACAAUAAUCUUUCUAGCCACAUAGACAUACCACAAUCUCUAUCAGUAAUCUUAAAUUUUGGCAGUCAUGGAUAAACACUAUUCUUGCCAAUAUAUAUUCAUUAUUUAUACAAUUUUCCUUUGAUGAUUUUUCCUUUAGGAAUUGAAAUUUUUAAAGAAUAUGUGUCUAAAUUGUUUUCAGAAUGGAUACUCCAAGCUGUUUUAAUAUUUGGCUUUGAGCAAAUUCAAAAUCACAUUUCUAAAAACUUCAGUUCUGUACAUAUACUUAUGGAGAGAGAGAGACUUCUUACUGGAAAGGGAGGAUAGUCCUAGUGGAGAAGUAAGCAGGGUGCAGACAUUUCAAUUGCCCCGUCAGAGUAUGUGCAGUUGAAGCACUUAAAAGGAUUAGUAAAGGACAAUUACUUGUUUUUUUCUUCCACUGUAUACCCACUGAGGAGCAUAGACUGCAGUUGGCACAAAAGGAUCUCAUCAGAGAAGUCUUUUAACAUUAAGCGUCUGUCUUAAGUAUUAAAAAUGUGACUUCAGUUUCCCCCUUGAAUACCAUCACAGCUGACCUUUUGAAACAGAGCUGAAGUUUCUCUCUGCUUUAAAUUGCUCAUUCUCAUGAAGAACAAUGAUGAAUUAAUGCAUUUAUUUUAAUCUUGGUUGGCCUUUCUUAAGAGCAAGCACAUUCCAAAAUAACUCUCUCGUUCUUUAAAUCCUAGUUACAUUGUUUCAUUUUACUACUCAAAAUGAAUUCAUUAUUAUAAUUUUCCUGCUAAUUCUUAAAGGAAAAGAUCACUGGUAUUUGAUGCAAGUUAUUUAUAUGAAAUAAAAAUACUAUUGAACAGACAAAUAAAAAUCAAAAUGGUAUAACACAGUUUUUUCUUUAUCCCAUUUGUUUUGUUUGUUAUUAGAAAUUUUGGUGCAUAGCGUUUUUGAACAUUUUUGUCCAAUUUUCCUUUGACUUUCGAAUUUUUAGUCGGGGAACAGUGCGGGAAACAAUCUGGUUUUGAUGGAAUCCCAAAUUUUUGUGAGUGUGUGUGUGUUCUAAAUAAACUCAACUAGGUCAUAUGACUCAUGUGCUUUCCAUGGUCUCAUUGACUUUAUUUUCUGUCUAGAAACUAUUUAAUAAAUCUUAUUUGAUCAGAUCAAUAUUCUUUAUUGCUUCUUUAACAAAACAAAGUUGAACUGUUUGUUAAGAAGAAAGUACUGUUUUAGGUUUCUUUCUUUUUGUAAAUUAUUUUCUAAAGAGUUGUAGAGUUUUGAUCAAUUUGCAUAACAUAAUAAAUACUUGAGCCCAUUUGUGGUUUUCAGGGCCAGCUGUUUUCUCCAGCUCCAGCUCUAUGAUUAAGGAUUAAGGGAUGCAAAAUGAUGAGAAACCCACAGGGCAAUUGCUGCCUUUGGAAGAUUUAACGGCAUGCUGAGGAUUUUUAUAUUCUCUGCAUUUCCCUUCCUUUACAGGUACAACAAACAAGAAAAACUUUACCAAAAAGGCCAUUCAAAGAGUAUUACUCAACAUGUCAAAGGCAAGUUUUAUUUGAAUCUAUUUCAAGAAAGUAUUCUAAUAUUCAUAUUCACACACAUUACAAAACCUAAGCACAUACAGGCAGGUUCCUGAAAAACCCAGGUAUAGGACAAAUUCUCUGUGAAUCUAAAUAUUUCUAUCCAUGUGAGUACAUGUAAGAAUACCUGUGUUUUGGUGUUUCGAUGUAGUAUUAUCUUGUAUGUUUCAGAAUUUUUUUUCCAGCAUUUUCAAGGUUUAAUAUUCACUUGGAAAGGGGGACCCUUGGAAUUCUUUUGAGACGUACCUUAUUCAUCUUGAAGUCAUCCUGAAGAUGUGGCAGGCCAUUAAUACUUUUGUAGAGAAACACAGGCUCCAUUUUUCCACUGUAAAUAUAUGCUGAGGUCUGUCUUUAAAUGUGUACCUAGGAGUAGGAAAGGUUGAGAAAGGAGAGAAUGAUAUUUUUGCCCUGCAUUCAACUUUGAUUGUUAUGAAGGGAAAUAUUUUACAUAAAAUAUUUCUACAAUAAGGAGAUUCAAAGGCUAGAACAGUUUUGUCAUCGCUCCUGUACUUUUUUUCAAGACUACUAUUAUCUCUAAUUCUGAGCCAGGUACACUAUUUACUUAGAAGUCAUUGAUUAAUAUUUAUUUAUAACUAGUAGGCAAGUUAAAGAAUGUAAAAUACAUAUUCUUCUGAUAAUUGUUUUUUAAAUCUUAGGUUUAUUUGGGGGAAUUUCUUCCUUUCCUUAUGCCAAGAAUGGCUAAUGCCUGUGAAUGUCAGACAUAAAACCCCAUUACAUGAAUUUCCCAAAGUCAAAGAAUGCUGAAUUAAUGCUGUAAGCAAAGCUGUAACAUCAAAGCAUAGAGUGUUAACGAUUUUAGUUAGUUCCCUACAGAUCAGGCUUUGUUCAUUGUAAGGAAUCUUUUUAAAAGUUACUUAAAAAUUCAAGAGCUGUAUGGUUUACAAAUUUACGAACUCAAGUGAUUCCAAGGAAGGAAUAUUUGUUUUUCUAAUUGCCAUUGGUGGCUGGAAGUCAUGAAACAGUAACCAGCUUAUUUUUAGCAAUUUUUCUGUUUAAUUCCUUUUAUGUAGAAAACACAAAAACUGCAGGCAUUAUGAGGGAAGUAGGGGAGAUUAAAGAGAAAUCACUGUAGAAACAACUUUUCAGAUAACUGCAUCAUUCUUUGUACUCCCUGGCCCGAAAAUGGUUCAACUUGUCUGAAAAGUGAAGAGGUCAAAUAUGUGCACACAGCCACUUUGCCAAGUGUGGGAAAGAACCAGUGUCUGGACUAGUUCCAAGCCAUCCAGACAGCUAUUUCAACUGGAACAAGUGACCUUUGGAACUGACUAGAACAUAACAGCCUGGCCAGACAGAGGGGAGGGAGUAGGCAGUUGGGAAGGACCCCAACAUGUUCUUCUGAAAGCUCAUUUGAAAUAAGAGGACAAUAAAAAGGACAGAAAUAUGAACUUAAAAAUACAUCAAACCAGUAAAAACUGUGUGACCACAAUAUGGGAUUCAAGAAAAGUUACAGUUUGUGUUUUUAGCUGUCAUUCUUUAAUAUACACGCUUAAAUACUUCUCCAACCCCGUGAGCACAGGCCCUGUCCCUUAAUUACAUAACAUUCAUGUUUGAAUCUUCAUAGCCUCUUUGACACUAAGUAACCAUUAUUUUGUUUUUCCUCUAUCAAUUGGGCCAGACUUCCUUAGUCUAUGAUUCUAUGGUGAUUGUUAGACAAACUUCAAUAAUUACUAAGAGAUUUAUUUAGCAAAUUAUUGCUACAAUAGAAGUUAAAAUAAUAGUAAAUAUUUUAUUGAAAAUGAGAUAGUGGUUAUCUUCUCCCAACAUUUAUUUGAAGGCAUGUUGUUCUUUUCUAAGAGAACAUACAAAAUUUAAGUUCACAUCAUUGGCAAGAAGCAUCUAAAUAAAUAUGCAAUCUUUUAAUGAAUGCUUAUGGACAAAGUGUUGUGCUUGGUAACAAAGAGGAAGGAUGUCAAGGCAAUCCUUCCUUCAAAAUGUUUGAAAAAUGGAGAGCAAAGCUUUUUUAAAAAUGCUUUAUUAAAAAUACAAAAAGAAAGCUGUUUCUUAGACAAUGUGUUAUUGAUUUUUAGAAAAUAUAUUAACUAUCAUAAGUUGAUUAUGUCCAAGGUACUGAGAAAAUACUAUGAGAUUUCAGAGUGCUCUUUCACAGAGAACUUUGUUAUUCCAGUGGGUACUGGAAAAUACUUUUCAGAAGACAACUUCUAUAGCUUCUAAUCAGGCCUUCUUUAAUGAAAAUACAAACCUUUAAAAGUCUUAAUGAAUAUUCCAAGGUGUCUAUAGAAUUGCUUGGAAACUAGAAGAUUUGGUUCAAUGAAUUUGGCAUGUAGAUCUGAAUGAAUGCCAAAAAUGUAGCUAAGGUAAAGGAAAUAAAUUUUUACAAAAUUUGUGUUA